GAGCUAACGUAUUAGAAUUCCAGUAACUUUCCCAUGGGAUUACAUAUGUGGAUUUCCCUGGACUUCAAAGAGAUCCAGAAGGGCUUUCUGUAGUGAAGAACAGAGGGCGUCUACUGAGGUCAGGGUUUACUAGGGAAUGUAUUUAAUACAGGACACUUAAUUUAUAGGAUUAUUUUAUAAUAGUCACCCAGAGUCAAAUGCAGAAGAGUGCAGGAGAUCUGUCCACACGCUAGAGACCCAGAGACUCCGGCUGAGGGCCUGGAGCCCAGGCAAUGUCCUGCAGGAUCCAGCUGGAGGCCCAGAGCCCACAGCAAUGUCUCAUGCGGGCCUGUUCCACGGAUCUGUGCUGGGAAGGCCCAGAGGUCGGUGGUAGAAGGUAGAAAGUCGGUGCCAGCGGGAUGAGGGAUCCGGGGCAGCGGGCUGCGGGACCUGCACUGCAGCCAGGAAGCGACACUCCAGGGGAGGACCGGAGCUGCCCCGGAGAGAACCGCAGCCGUCCUAGGCGACAGCGAGGACCCGAGCUCCUCCGACAUGGGAACAGCUGAGUUCAUGUCAGGACAGCCAGCGUGACACGCUUCUCCAGGAGAACCAACAGCACCAUCUUCCCCUCCAGCUCUGCUUUUAUGCCGUCGGCAACAAUCCUCAGGCGGGCCGUCCACACCCAGCAGCACGCCGGCUCGGCUCAGCCGGGUGUGACGAGCUGAUCAUUAGUUACUCCACCGCGAGCCUGCGAGCUCACGCUCUAGAGCAGCAAGUCCGGCCUGAGCUGCGAGUGCUGAGCUCCAAGCGCACAUCCCAUCUCGGGGGCCGAGGGCGGGCAGUGGGCGCCAGGCACUGUGACAGCGGCCAGGUCCAUCCCGGUCCUCCAGCAGGGCAGGUCUUGCAGUCGGCGGUGGUCUACUGUCCAAGGGUGAGCGGGCUGCGGGUCUCAGAACCGCACGCAGAGAGCGUAGGGGGACCGACACUGCCCGCACCACUGCCCCGGGCAGCCCGAGCCUCCAAAAAGGGCGGGACAGACUCGGCCCACAGGCCGUGUGCAGCUGCGGACAGGGCCUUGAAGGGGUGAGACGCUGUCGCCGCCAGGGUCGCUGUGGGCGCUGGGAAGAGGAGGCGCAGGCGCACAGGGGCCCGCGGCCGGCGUCCUUCCGUCCCCAUGGCGACCGCUGGAGCGGUUGUCGCGUGCGCGUGAGGAAAGGUUAAAAAGCGCUUUCUCUCUCUCUGUGUGUGUGUGUGUGUGUGUGUGUGUGUUUGGUUUUUCUCCGGUACCGGGAACCGAACUCACGACCUUGCGCUUGCCAGGCAGGCGUAAAAAGCACUUUCUGAUUCGGUUCUGCAGCGUCGCGGCGGGGGCAGCACGCGGCUCCAUCACCAGGCUGAGAGAUUUCUCCUGGGCACAAGUCUAGUGACGGCGCGGAUACACAGCUGUGUUCUCGAAAAUCGCAUAAGGAGGCUUCAGGAGUUUCUCCCCAGACCGGUGGUCACCUCCCACCUGCCCUAGGGCAGUGCAGCAGGCUCUUGGACAGUCACAGGUCCAGAGUGUGAGUGCCAGCCCUUUGCUCGUGGUAUUUUUUGGUUUUUGUUAUUUGAGACAGAAUCUCAUUGUGUAAUUCAGGCUGGCCUUGAACUCACUAUGUAGCUUUGAACUCCCAGGGAUUCUCCUGCCUCAGCCUCCUGAUCGCUGGGAUUACAAGCAUGAGUCACCACAUCGGGCAUCCCUCAGCCCUUUUAAAUAAAUUAAUUAGGUUUUUUGAGACAGGACUUGGAUAUGUAGUUUAGGCUGGCCUCAAACUCAUCCUCCUGGCGCAACCUCCCAAGUGCUGGGAUUACAGGGCCCAGGAGAAAUUAUUCUCAUAUUCUCCCCUGAGCCUUGGCACUCAGGCUACAUCCCCAGUCCCCUGUUACUUUUUUUUUUUUUUUUUUUGAGAUAGGGUCUCACUAAGGUCACUAAAUUGCCCAGGCUGGGCUCAAACUCGAGACCCUCCUGUCUCAGCCUCCCCUGGCCUACGAUAUCAUUGCUAGCUGAGAAACGGUUCAUGGCACGGAAUUUUCUGAACCUUGUGGCCCUUCCUCCACCCCUUCCGCUCCUGGCCAUGCACAAUAGUACACUCCAGUUGGAGGGUGGGGAAGCUGCUCAGAGCUGAUACGACCCUGCCCGCCUUGCCCUUCCUGAGCAAUCAGCUUGCCCAGGCUUCGCCUGCCUUUAGGGGUGCAGUUCCCCAGUAGCCCACUGGGCGGUGCUGCUCCUCUGUCCGUCGCGGAAGCCGGAGAGUCAGACGUGCCUUUUGGUCCAGUGGGAAGGGCUAGUGUUUCUAAGCGGUGAAGGCGGGUGCUCCUGUUUCCCGUGAGAGCUGUGUGUGAAAGCCUUCGCAGUGAAGUCACUUCUCAUCCGAAUAGCACUUGGAAUGUGGCAGGAAGUGUGCUGUGAGGGCUAUACAGCUAAAUAGCUGAAGAAUUUUAAAAUGCCAUACUUCAGGCAAAAGUGGCAGUGUGCACCUGUACUCCCGGCUUCUCAGGAGGCUGAAGCAGGAGGAUUGCGUGAGCCCUAAUUUUGAGGCCACCCUGCUGAGCAGUACAGAGAGAGAGAUAGCAUCAAAAUACCUCCAACUAUUAUCACCACCACCACUGCCACGAAGACCAACUUUUUCUUUGGUGGUGGUACUGGGGAUUGAAUCUAGGGGCUCGCAUAAGCUUAACAAGCGCAUUAUGCC
rnacentral:lncRNA from 1 species